rnacentral:rRNA from 1 species
CCUACGGGUGGCUGCAGCAGGGAAUCUUGGGCAAUGGGCGAAAGCCUGACCCAGCGACGUCGCGUGGGGGACGAAGGCCUUAGGGUUGUAAACCCCUUUUCCGAGGGAAGAUACAGGACGGUACCUCGGGAAUAAGCCCCGGCUAACUACGUGCCAGCAGCCGCGGUAAUACGUAGGGGGCGAGCGUUACCCGGAUUUACUGGGCGUAAAGUGCGCGUAGGCGGUUGGAUAAGUCUCUUGUGAAAGCUCCCGGCUCAACUGGGAGAGGUCAAGGGAUACUAUUCGACUAGAGGACAGCAGAGGUAAGCAGAAUUCCCGGUGUAGCGGUGGAAUGCGUAGAUAUCGGGAGGAACACCAGUGGCGAAAGCGGCUUACUGGGCUGUAUCUGACGCUGAGGCGCGAGAGCGUGGGGAGCAAACUGGAUUAGAUACCCAGG